AGGGAUUUAGCUCAGUGGCAUAAGCACCUGCUUGGCAAGCAUGAAUUUGUGAGUUCAAUCCCUG
rnacentral:tRNA from 1 species